AGAUGUUUGUACAGGUUGCUGAUGUCCUCCUCGUAUUUGCUCCGCUCGUGGCAACAAUAUUAUUUGACUUUUCUUUCACAAAGGGACGCAGCUCGGUGAAGGACCGUCUCCCCCCUGGUCAACAGAAGAGAGAGAGAGAGAGAGAGAGACAACAUCACCCGAGGAACAGACAUCAACCCCCCUGCUGCUUCUUUUGGUGUCUUGUGUUUAUGAUGGCACAUAUAUCAUCACAUAUAGACUGAACAGAGAUCAGAGCACAGAUACAGCAUCAUCAUCUACACUCUGUUAACAUUUAAAUAAAGUGUUUAAAAUUUUAAAAACCUCAUGGUUUCAGUUCAAUGUUAGAUGUUUUCAUGCAGAAAUAGAAUCUGUACUUACUGCAGUUUUUCUGUAACGACUAAAAACUAGUUAAAGGCAGGGUUGGUGAUUUUCUCCAGAUCCACUUUUUAAGAUUCUGGUUGAAAUUGUCUUUUGGUCCUGACAAUGCAAGCAAUGAGCUGAGGUCUGCUUCUGGGGUGGGUGCAGACGGAGCACUGAGGGAAUGCUACUUUUAGAAAAUGAUCAACCCUGCCUUUAACCCAGACAAGACUCUCUCUUACCUGCUGUUUGUAAAGUGUCUUGAGAUAACAUUUGUAUUGAGUUGGCGCUCUACAAAAUAAAGAUUGAUUGAACUGA